CGGCCGUCCAGGCGCUGGGCGGGGGCGGGAGCAAGGCGAGGCCGCCUGGCAUCCUGAGGCGAGGGCCGUGACAGUGUGCGCCUGCGCGGGGCGCCAUUCCUUUUCCCCGCUCGCCGACCCCAGGCGCUGGGCCUUUGUCUGAUCCGCUUGGCUUGCGAGGCUGCUGCGGCCGCCGUGUCCUUCUCGUCCGGGCGGUCUCCUUCCUGAGAGUCCGAUCCGACUGUGGGGCUUUAUCCCCCUCCCAUUUUCCGUCAUGCGACUUCCUCUUGGUCGGCACCGCGGCUCGGCGCCGCCCGGCAUACUGGAGCUUCGGCGAAGGGCUGGAACCAGCGCGGGCUCCUGGGCGCUGGCUGCCGAGUGGCAGAAUUCCUCUGAUACUCCUCGGAGGAGAGGCGACCCCCGAGGAGCUGGACGGGUUUCGAAAACUCUUGCUCCGUACGGUUACAAGGGGAGCCGUAAAUGAGCAUUUCUAACGUUCAGUGUAUCUUUGCCUGCCUACAUCAAUCUGCAAGGGAGUUGCAGAAAAGCCUCAUGUUCAUCGAGCCGUGAGUCACAACCAAUUUCUAAGCUGUUAUAACAAAAAAGUGUUUGCUUUUUUUCCACAAGUAACUUUAAAAGUGUAGUUUAGAAAGAAAACAUUUUCAGUAAAAAGACACUACAUUAAUCCUGGAUGCUUGCAAAUCCUGAAAUAUAUUCCUCCUUGACUAUUACACAGCACUGUGUCCUAUACACAGAUUAGCCUUAAAAUUUGUCACAUACCACUUUGCCUUUACUUUUAUGUAUCAUUCCCCCUGACUUCCUUACUGCAGGUGUGGGCAAGAAAACUUUUCCUUUAAAACUUUUCAACAGCGGGCAUAAAAUUCUGCAGCUGAGUUCUUGAAGAAUGCAGAUGGGUACAGUAUGUGUUGGAGUUCACAGUGUGUAUUGACUAACCUGAUUCUUUUUUGCUUUCUUUGGUAUUGUCUUGUUAAAAGUGACUCCCAGGUGCCAGCUUUCAUUUUUAAGGGUGGGGAUGAAAGGGGAAUAAGAAGAAAAGGUCUAGAGAUAUUUAACAGUUAGUAAUAGAGCCUGAAAGCUUUCUUCUUAUUGCAGUUUUUGAUAAACCACUGCCUAUAAUUUGACUAUAACAAAAAGAUUAAUAAAUAGCUUUGCUUGGUGGAAAUUACCAGCUCUAAGUCAUACAUGGUAGAUUCAUGGCACUCUGAUUACAUAGGUCUUAGUGUCUCAUUGCCCACAUGUAUAUUUGGGCUGGUGCCUUUUGGUACUCACUCUUUCUUCUAACUCCUUGACUUAAUGAUGGAGUUAGAUGUGAUCAAGUGUGCGUCUUCAUAAAAUAUUUAGCUUAAAACAAAUCUGUAUUCCUUUCCAGUUGUAAAUAUCUUUAGAUCAGUUUCUUAGUGUAUGUGAUGGGGAGAAUACAGAAAUGCUAGUCUGCAAAUCAUCCAGGUGUGUUGUUGUGCCAGGUAGCCUUGUGUAGUUAAUGAGAUAAUACUUUAUUUAAAACCACAAAUGAAUUUCAGGAGAUGAAACCAGACAGAGGGUCAAGUUUACAGAUGACCGUGUCUGCAAGAGUCACCUUCUGGAUUGCUGCCCCCAUGACAUCCUUGCUGGGACGCGCAUGGAUUUAGGAGAAUGUACCAAAAUCCACGACUUGGCCCUCCGAGCAGAUUAUGAGAUUGCAAGUAAAGAAAGAGACCUGUUUUUUGAAUUAGAUGUAAGUCUUUUCAGAUGUUUG